UACGAAGGGGGCUAGCGUUGCUCGGAAUCACUGGGCGUAAAGGGUGCGUAGGCGGGUCUUUAAGUCAGGGGUGAAAUCCUGGAGCUCAACUCCAGAACUGCCUUUGAUACUGGGAGACUUGGAGUCCGGGAGAGGUGAGUGGAACUGCGAGUGUAGAGGUGAAAUUCGUAGAUAUUCGCAAGAACACCAGUGGCGAAGGCGGCUCACUGGCCCGGUACUGACGCUGAGGUGCGAAAGCGUGGGGAGCAAACAGG
rnacentral:rRNA from 1 species